AUGUGUGCGGACAUGAUGGACUUGAAGAAGGCGAAGACUAGGAUCAUCGGGCUGGAGGAAGAACUCAAGUUUACCCGCGAAGGAUAUGAGGAGGAAAUCAAGACCCUACUUGAGAGGAAUGACGACCUAGUCAAGAAUAUCGGAGUAUUCAUGGGAGGACCAUCACCAGGAGUAGAAGACGACGAUUCCACUUGCCCGGACAACUACAUGAUCAUUGUCACGACCGGUUCUCCGGACAUAAAUUUCCAGAAAAGACCGUCGUGCUCAUCAGCCCCAGGAUCACUGUUAGCUGAUGAGGCUCCAACUUGA
rnacentral:rRNA from 1 species